rnacentral:rRNA from 1 species
UACGGAGGGUGCAAGCGUUAUCCGGAUUCACUGGGUUUAAAGGGUGCGUAGGAGGGCAGGUAAGUCAGUGGUGAAAUCCCCGAGCUUAACUUGGGAACUGCCGUUGAUACUAUCUGUCUUGUAUAUCGUGGAGGUGAGCGGAAUAUGUCAUGUAGCGGUGAAAUGCUUAGAUAUGACAUAGAACACCAAUUGCGAAGGCAGCUCGCUACACGAAUAUUGACUCUGAGGCACGAAAGCGUGGGGAUCAAACAGG